CCUACGGGUGGCUGCAGUGGGGAAUAUUGGGCAAUGGAGGAAACUCUGACCCAGCAACGCCGCGUGAAUGAUGAAGGUCCUCGGAUUGGAAAGCUCUUUUUUUAGGGAAGAAGAAAGUGAUGGUACUUUAGGAAUAAGCCUCGGCUAACUACGUGCCAGCAGCCGCGGUAAUACGUAGGAGGCGAGCGUUAGCCGGAAUGACUGGGCGUAAAGGGUGCGUAGGUGGUUGGGCAAGUUAGUAGCGUAACUCCCAGGCUCAACCUUGGAACUACUACUAAAACUGUUGGACUUGAGAGCAGGUGGGGCAGCCGGAAUGUCUGGUGUAGCGGUGGAAUGCGUAGAGAUUAGACAGAACACCGGUGGCGAAGGCAGGUUGCUAGGCUAUAACUGACGCUGAGGCACGAAAGCGUGGGGAGCAAACAGGAUUAGAUACCCUAGUAGUC
rnacentral:rRNA from 1 species